rnacentral:rRNA from 1 species
AUUUGUGGUCAUGCCAUCCUGAUCGUACCCAGGAUCAUCUGAUCUUGGAAGCUAAGCGGAAUGAGGCCUGGUUAGACUUAGAUGGGAAACAGAAUGUCUGUGGGUAGUUAAAAUUC